GGGAAACCGGAGCUAAUACCGGAUAAUAUUUUGAACCGCAUGGUUCAAAAGUGAAAGACGGUCUUGCUGUCACUUAUAGAUGGAUCCACGCUGCAUUAGCUAGUUGGUAAGGUAACGGCUUACCAAGGCAACGAUGCAUAGCCGACCUGAGAGGGUGAUCGGCCACACUGGAACUGAGACACGGUCCAG
rnacentral:rRNA from 1 species